rnacentral:hammerhead_ribozyme from 1 species
AUCCAGCUGAUGAGUUCCAAAUAGGACGAAACACGCUUCCUGGAU